rnacentral:lncRNA from 1 species
UUUGUGGGAAAAGCACUGCCUUAGCCUCCAUUGCCAACUGCCAGUUAGUAAGCCGAGCUGCCCCUCAGAGUUCAGGCCCUAUGUCAGUUGCAGUGACUCAGACUUGGAGGCCACUGAGAUCCUGGCCUCAGGUUGUGUCUGGCAAUAGGUCCCUCCUGGCUGUGACUUUUGUGAGUGUCUUAGGGUUUCUGUAGCUGUAAUGAAAAACACUGUAGUGACCAAAAUCAACAUGGGAAGGAAUGGGUUUAUUUUGUUCACAGUUCCAUCAAAAGCAAUGAGGGCAGGAACUCACACAGGACAAGAAUCCUAAGCCAGGAGCUGAUACACAGGCCAUGCUUACUGCCUGGCCCAGCCUGCUUUCUUAAAGACCCAGAAACACCAGCCCAAGUAUGGCACUGCCCACAAUGAGCUGGGCCCUCCCUCAUCAAUCAUUAAUUAUAAAAAUGCCUUACAGGCUUGCCUAUAGCCCAAUCUUUUUUUUAAGGUUUUAUUUAUUUUAUAUAUAUGACGAGUUCACUGUAGCUGUCUUCAGACACACCGGAAGAGGUCAUCGGAUCCCAUUACAGAUGUUUGUGAGCCACCAUGUGGUUGCUGAGAAUUGAACUCAGGACCCUUGGAAGAGCAGUCAGUGCUCUUUACCGCUGAGCCAUCCCUCCAGCCCCCUAUAGCCCAAUCUUAUGAAGGCAUUUUCUUAAUUGAGAUCCCUCCUCUCAGAUGACCUGUCCAGUUGACACAAACUGUCCAGCACAGUGUCACUACUGUGAUCUUAUCUUGCGCCCAUUCUGUUCCUCCUGUACUGCACUCCACCAAUACCCACGCCUCUUCCGCCUUGGAAGAGUGUUAGCAUCAUAAGUCUGCUUAUGGAAGGUUUGGGAGUAAGAUGGGGUGAAUUCAUGUUAUUUCACCUACUUAUAAAUGACAGCUCUGUGCUGGACUGUGGGCUAGAUAGCUGAAAACAGAUGAGUAAGUCACUCCAGGAGCUCACUGCCUGGCAAGAGGACAGGCAGAUGAAUCAGUGGUAUGACUAGUCAAGAAAGGCUUCCUGGAAGAGAGGUCAACUCCCAGCCCAGUCUCCCAUAAAAGUAUGCUAACCUGCCUGUGUAUACGUGCUAUUCCUAUGUCGUUCCUACCGUUACUGACCAUCGAGGCACAAUGUGUGCAUGCAUUUCCUUUCUCUAUUCCUGUAACAAACUCAUGCAGCUGCUCUUAAUACCUGUCCUGGGAAGCCCGACUAGGCAAGGAAGGAAGAUGUGACACACAGAAGCCAGGUUGUUGGUGAGGGUCUUAAGUGUGCCUCUGUGGUUCUGUAGUAACUCUUUCCAGACCAUAGCUAUAUCUCUUUACAUAGGUGCCCUUUCUGCCUAAACCUACUGGCAACCAUGUCUUAUAUGCCAACCCAGACUUCCACAAAUGUGACACGGGACUCAUGGCAUUGAAUUUUCUCCAUCUAUUACCGGAUGGCAAAUGGGAUGGUGACGGGCUAAAGGACAGGCUCUGCUGCCAUGUCUGUAUUGUGUCCUCAUCUGCCAGGCAUUUGUGUCACCUGCCUGACCAGAAGGUGAUUCUGAAAGCUCGCCCUCCCCAUACUAUUAGUGAUUCGCACAUGUUUAAAAUUAUCCAUAAGCCCGAUUUUUUUUUUUUACUUUAUUCCUCCUCUUAAAAUAUAUCAUUGACUCUCAGAAUCUGUCACCUUAAUUGGACGAAAUGAUUUUCCUGAAAUGACUUCUCAGGUUCUCUAGGUCUCAACAUUCCCCAGGCCUUGGUUUAUUUUACCUCCUAGGAAGAUCCAAAGUGAGAGAGACCCAGCCACUGACCCUAGCUUGCUGUCCUACUGUGGGAGACACAAGCAUUU